rnacentral:rRNA from 1 species
CAUGCAAGUCGAACGGACUGGUAGAUAGCAGAUAGCCGCUGGCAGAUAGCUUGCUAUCAGCCAAAAGUUAUCAGCCAUCAGCCAGUUAGUGGCGAACGGGUGAGUAACACGUAGGUGACCUGCCCCGAAGAGGGGGAUAACCGCUGGAAACGGCGGUUAAUACCCCAUGUGGUCAUGGGGGUUAGAGGCCUCAUGAUUAAAGCCCCGGCGCUUCGGGAGGGGCCUGCGGCCUAUCAGCUAGUUGGUGAGGUAAUGGCUCACCAAGGCGAAGACGGGUAGGGGGCGUGAGAGCGUGACCCCCCACAAUGGAACUGAGACACGGUCCAUACUCCUCCGGGAGGCAGCAGUGAGGAAUAUUGCACAAUGGGGGAAACCCUGAUGCAGCAACGCCGCGUGGGUGAUGAAGGCCUUCGGGUCGUAAAACCCUUUUCUAGGGGACGAGAUAGGACGG